rnacentral:rRNA from 1 species
AUGCAUGGGAGUGUGCGCGGUAGUGGGGGAUAACCUGGGGAAACCCAGGCUAAUACCGCAUACGUCCUACGGGAGAAAGGGGGCUUCGGCUCCCGCUAUCGGAUGAGCCUAUGUCGGAUUAGCUAGUUGGUGAGGUAACGGCUCACCAAGGCCACGAUCCGUAGCUGGUCUGAGAGGAUGAUCAGCCACAUCGGGACUGAGACACGGCCCGAACUCCUACGGGAGGCAGCAGUGGGGAAUAUUGGACAAUGGGGGGAACCCUGAUCCAGCCAUGCCGCGUGUGUGAAGAAGGCCCUCGGGUUGUAAAGCACUUUCAGCGAGGAAGAACGCCUAGCGGUUAAUACCCGCUAGGAAAGACAUCACUCGCAGAAGAAGCACCGGCUAACUCCGUGCCAGCAGCCGCGGUAAUACGGAGGGUGCAAGCGUUAAUCGGAAUUACUGGGCGUAAAGCGCGCGUAGGUGGCUUGAUAAGCCGGUUGUGAAAGCCCCGGGCUCAACCUGGGAACGGCAUCCGGAACUGUCAAGCUAGAGUGCAGGAGAGGAAGGUAGAAUUCCCGGUG